UCUAUGUGGGUCAGUAGAAAGGUUC
rnacentral:piRNA from 1 species